GACGAACCGUGCGAACGUUAUUCGGAAUCACUGGGCUUAAAGGGCGCGUAGGCGGGCCUGCAAGUCAGGGGUGAAAUCCCACGGCCCAACCGUGGAAGUGCCUCUGAUACUGCCGGCCUCGAGGGAGGUAGGGGCGUGCGGAACUCAGGGUGGAGCGGUGAAAUGCGUAGAUAUCCUGAGGAACACCGGUGGCGAAAGCGGCGCGCUGGACCUCUUCUGACGCUGAGGCGCGAAAGCCAGGGGAGCAAACGGG
rnacentral:rRNA from 1 species